GAUGAACGCUAGCUACAGGCUUAACACAUGCAAGUCGAGGGGAAACGACAUCGAAAGCUUGCUUUUGAUGGGCGUCGACCGGCGCACGGGUGAGUAACGCGUAUCCAACCUGCCCACCACUUGGGGAUAACCUUGCGAAAGUAAGACUAAUACCCAAUGAUAUCUCUAGAAGACAUCUGAAAGAGAUUAAAGAUUUAUCGGUGAUGGAUGGGGAUGCGUCUGAUUAGCUUGUUGGCGGGGUAACGGCCCACCAAGGCAACGAUCAGUAGGGGUUCUGAGAGGAAGGUCCCCCACAUUGGAACUGAGACACGGUCCAAACUCCUACGGGAGGCAGCAGUGAGGAAUAUUGGUCAAUGGACGAGAGUCUGAACCAGCCAAGUAGCGUGCAGGAAGACGGCCCUAUGGGUUGUAAACUGCUUUUAUAAGGGAAUAAAGUGAGUCUCGUGAGACUUUUUGCAUGUACCUUAUGAAUAAGGACCGGCUAAUUCCGUGC
rnacentral:rRNA from 1 species